AUAUGCGUUUUGUUUGUUAUCGGGUUGCGUUUCGUUUUGCAGAGAAAUUAGUCAUCGGCCGAGAUGCAUCUCUGGUUCGUCGGCGAAGAGAACGCCGGCUAUUAGGAAAUGGGCGGUUGGCGGAGUCACUGAAUUGCUCCGGCUCGCUUUCGUCACUGAAUUUCUCCAGCUCGCUUUGUCCCCUUUUUCCUCCAUCCCUACAAAUAAGGAUAAGGUAGUCCAAACUACCUCCUAGGUUUGAUGUAGACAAGGAUCAAGAGAUUUGAACCCUUCACCUUCCUAAGAGCUGCGCAGUAAAAGAACUUAAACGUCAAGCAAAUGGCAAUGUGUUAAAAAAAGCUGCCUAUCUUGAAGCUUGCAUUGAGCUGCACAGAGUUGGAGCUCUGACUGAUAAUCCUCUACUUAAUAAGAAUGAAGCCAGACUCUCCAAUAUAUUUUUUCUGGGCACCAGAACUGAGCUUGAAGAAGAUGCAAUUGGGAGCACAGGCUUCCGGUUGGAAGAUCAUUUUGGUCUUUUUGUGUAGAAAGUUUCAGAUAGCUCUUUUACGACUUCUUUUGGAUCACAGUAUGAAAAAUUUGAUUGAAUGGAUUGCAUCUCAGAGACGGGGUAGCACUUGAUUAUCUACUGGUUCCGUCCACUCAUGAGCAUGAAACAUCUCUUAUCAAUUGGGAGCUGAUUAGAUCCUUGAAUUUAACUUGUCAUAAUGCUUGGGAAAGGCACAUUCGGUUAGGAAAAAGACUAACCGACUUCUAAAGAUAAGUUAUUCAGAAAGAAAGAAAAAAUGUCUGAAGAUAGAGUGGGACUUCAUUAGUCAAAUGCUUAACAUUUGCGUCUAUAUGUGUUUAGUACUUGAAUUUCAAGAUAUCUAUCUUUUUUUUGUUAA